GGGGGUUCCUGCGCACGUUGCAGGAGCAUUUUAAAAAGCUUUUCAAGCAGCAUCCAAGCCCGGACAGCAGAGAGGGUUCUGCAUCCUUCUCCAUAGCUCAGCACACCCCAGGCAAGUGGCCGUGCAAAAGGUUUGACCCCGACGUGAUUUGAACACGCAACCUUCUGAUCUGGAGUCAGACGCGCUACCGUUGCGCCACGAGGUCUCCUGGGGCGGCCUGUUUUAAUUACCUAUCCACCUGACCUACGUCAUUAGUUUUUGAUACUCUGUAACGACUGGACAGCUGCUGGCCUGAACGAGAGUCCGUCCCGCUUCGCUCUCUUCCCCCUCGGGAGGGACGCUGAGGACGGUUCCGAAUCGUUUGCAGAAUUGAAUGGCGAGGCCAGCCCCGUGUGUCCGGAGAGACUGAGCCUCCGCGGAGGCUGGAGAAACAAGUUGGCUUCCCACCCUCACAGUCCACCUUCGACCCCUGAGUCUGAAACCGGCCCUAAAACAUGCGAGGCACUUUGUCUGCAGGGGCGAGGCGGUCAUUGUGGCGCGUCCUUUGGCCGGGGAAAGCGCUGGUUUAGGAAGCUCCGAGGACCUGGAGCCCGCAGGGAGACAGACCAUCAACCCCAACAGUGCAGGGGCCCUUCCAAUGCAUAGAAAAAAAUGCUCUGACAGUGAUCCACUGCUGCGAAAGGGAUCUCGCUCUUAGGAUUAAGGUCUCCCUUUCUCAACCCAAAAAAAUGAAUCCAGAGCCUGGGGUUCCCGCUGGGAACCAUAUAGAGAUGGUCGGUGGCAGAAGUGGGUGCCCACCCUGCAGGUGGCGGGGCAUCUUUGGCCGGUCAUACUCGAGAAUUCGCCUGUUGACAAGCGAACUCUUCGUAUCCUGGAAAGAAACUAGGGAUCCCGGGAAGGAUGUAUUGAGAGCCUGCGACAUUGGUGGCGAAAUGAACGCGACUUUCAGAAAAUGAAAGGCGAGGUUUUGGGGAGGAUCUGCAGACCCCAGCAGAAAGGAAUGAGCCUGGGAUCCGGAGCUGCCGGAGAAUACAGUGAUCUUCUAUUGACAGUAAAAAACGAGGAUGUAACGGUACCGACAAUCACAGAAUGGUUGUGAGUUUGCAUGAGGAAUGUGCUUUAAACGGGUUUAUAUAUGCUUAGAACGGUGCCCGCCGUGCCCUGAGCUUUCAGUAGAUAAUACCAUAAUUAUCACUCUCAAGUUUGGUGAAAUUCUUAAAUGCCUUUUCCCACAUCA
rnacentral:tRNA from 1 species